UACAGAGGUCCCAAGCGUUGUUCGGAUUCACUGGGCGUAAAGGGUGCGUAGGUGGCGCUGUAAGUCGGGUGUGAAAUUUCGGAGCUUAACUCCGAAACUGCAUUCGAUACUGCGGUGCUUGAGGACUGGAGAGGAGACUGGAAUUCAUGGUGUAGCAGUGAAAUGCGUAGAUAUCUGGAGGAAUACCGGUGGCGAAGGCGGCAUCCUGGACCGACAUUGACGCUGAUGAGCGAAAGCUAGGGGAGCAAACGGG
rnacentral:rRNA from 1 species